rnacentral:tRNA from 1 species
GCGUGCGUAGUGUAACGGUAACACCUUUGGCUUCCACCCAAAUAUUGCAGGUUCGAAACCUGUCGCCCGCACCA